AUGCGAUAAGUAAUGUGAAUUGCAGAAUUCAGUGAAUCAUCGAAUCUUUGAACGCACCUUGCGCUCCUCGGUAUUCCUUGGAGCAUGCCUGUUUGAGUAUCAUGAGCAAAUCUCAAAGUCGAUCCUUUUGUUGAUUCAAUUGGUUUUGCUUUGGACUUGGAGGUCUUUGCAGAUUUCACCAUCUGCUCCUCUUAAAUGUAUUAGCUGGAUCUCAGUAUUUAUGCUUGGUUUCCACUCGGCGUGAUAAGUAUCACUCGCUGAGGACACUGGUAAAAAAGGUGGCCAGGAAAAUACUGAUCGAACCGCUUCUAACGGUCUAUUAACUUAGACAAUUACCCUUAAGUUUGAUCUCAAAUCAGGUAGGACUACCCGCUGAACUUAA
rnacentral:misc_RNA from 1 species